GUACACAAAAAUGCACAUAUUGUGAGCUCGAUGAGUAGGGCGGGACACGUGGUAUCCUGUCUGAAUAUGGGGGGACCAUCCUCCAAGGCUAAAUACUCCUGACUGACCGAUAGUGAACCAGUACCGUGAGGGAAAGGCGAAAAGAACCCCGGCGAGGGGAGUGAAAAAGAACCUGAAACCGUGUACGUACAAGCAGUGGGAGCACGCUUAGGCGUGUGACUGCGUACCUUUUGUAUAAUGGGUCAGCGACUUAUAUUCUGUAGCAAGGUUAACCGAAUAGGGGAGCCGAAGGGAAACCGAGUCUUAACUGGGCGUUAAGUUGCAGGGUAUAGACCCGAAACCCGGUGAUCUAGCCAUGGGCAGGUUGAAGGUUGGGUAACACUAACUGGAGGACCGAACCGACUAAUGUUGAAAAAUUAGCGGAUGACUUGUGGCUGGGGGUGAAAGGCCAAUCAAACCGGGAGAUAGCUGGUUCUCCCCGAAAGCUAUUUAGGUAGCGCCUCGUGAAUUCAUCUCCGGGGGUAGAGCACUGUUUCGGCAAGGGGGUCAUCCCGACUUACCAACCCGAUGCAAACUGCGAAUACCGGAGAAUGUUAUCACGGGAGACACACGGCGGGUGCUAACGUCCGUCGUGAAGAGGGAAACAACCCAGACCGCCAGCUAAGGUCCCAAAGUCAUGGUUAAGUGGGAAACGAUGUGGGAAGGCCCAGACAGCCAGGAUGUUGGCUUAGAAGCAGCCAUCAUUUAAAGAAAGCGUAAUAGCUCACUGGUCGAGUCGGCCUGCGCGGAAGAUGUAACGGGGCUAAACCAUGCACCGAAGCUGCGGCAGCGACGCUGAUGCGUUGUUGGGUA
rnacentral:rRNA from 1 species